CAGAGUAGAAAUUAUUAUUCCCAUCUUGCAGAUGAAGAAACUGAGACUGAGAGUUUUGGUGACUGGCACACAGUUACAUAAAUAUUAAGAGAUGGCACAGAAUUGCAAAAGUAGAUUUUCCUCAUCAAAAAAAAAUCCAUGUCCUUUCUAUGAUACUAGGCUAUUUUAAAUUAAACAUAAUGCUAUAUUUUAUCAUCAAUGCCAUCAUUCUCCUUUAUUCUCAAUUUAAAAUCAUCCUCACACUUAAUUCUGACUCUCGAGAAACAUAUGUCUUCCAGCCAAAACAUAUGUAAAUGUAUUUAAACCCCAAACCCUCUUUGUAAAAAAAUUUAUUUUAGAUUCAGAAGCACACAUGCAGGUUCCAUGGGUAUAUGGCACAAUGGUGGAGUUUGGGCUUUAAGUACUCAUCACUCAAAUAGUGACUAUUUUAUAAAAUCCUAUCCUCCACUCAAGACUUAACCCUAUUUCCAAUCCCAAUUCUUAGUGACACAAUUGCUUUCUCAAUUUUGUUUCCUAUGAUCCCAGACCAUGAGGAUGUUAGCAGAGAAGAGGGAGUCCUGAAAUGCCAGUUAACCCAGCAGAAGUUGAUGAGCUCACUUACAGCCAGGGACAUGGUUUCCCAGGUAUACAGUUCCACUGUAAAUGAGGUGGUGGGUUUCUUCACCUCUGCCGAUCCACUGAAUUUUAUAAGAAAAGCCAGUGGGCUCCCAGACAAAGUUAAAAAGAAGAGGAAGAAGAAGAGGAAGAGGAGAAGGAAGAAGGAG